rnacentral:rRNA from 1 species
UACGGGGGGGCAAGCGUUGUUCGGAAUUACUGGGCGUAAAGGGCUCGUAGGCGGCCAACUAAGUCAGACGUGAAAUCCCCAGGCUCAACCUGGGAACUGCGUCUGAUACUGGAUGGCUUGAAUCCGGGAGAGGGAUGCAGAAUUCCAGGUGUAGCGGUGAAAUGCGUAGAUAUCUGGAGGAACACCGGUGGCGAAGGCGGCAUCCUGGACCGGUAUUGACGCUGAGGCGCGAAAGCUAGGGGAGCAAACGGG